rnacentral:rRNA from 1 species
UACAGAGGUGGCAAGCGUUGUUCGGAAUUACUGGGCGUAAAGGGCGAGUAGGUGGCCAUCUAAGUCAGACGUGAAAUCCCCCGGCUUAACCUGGGAACUGCGUCUGAUACUGACGGCUUGAGUAUGGGAGAGGGAUGUAGAAUUCCAGGUGUAGCGGUGAAAUGCGUAGAUAUCUGGAGGAAUACCGGUGGCGAAGGCGGCAUCCUGGACCAUUACUGACACUGAUCCGCGAAAGCUAGGGAGCGAACAGG